GAUGAACGCUGGCGGCGUGCCUAAUACAUGCAAGUCGAGCGAACAGACGAGGAGCUUGCUCCUCUGACGUUAGCGGCGGACGGGUGAGUAACACGUGGAUAACCUACCUAUAAGACUGGGAUAACUUCGGGAAACCGGAGCUAAUACCGGAUAACAUGUUGAACCGCAUGGUUCAACAGUGAAAGACGGUCUUGCUGUCACUUAUAGAUGGAUCCGCGCCGCAUUAGCUAGUUGGUAAGGUAACGGCUUACCAAGGCAACGAUGCGUAGCCGACCUGAGAGGGGGAUCGGCCAAACUGGAACUGAGACACGGUCCAGACUCCUACGGGAGGCAGCAGUAGGGAAUCUUCCGCAAUGGGCGAAAGCCUGACGGAGCAACGCCGCGGGAGUGAAGAAGGUCUUCGGAUCGUAAAACUCUGUUAGUAGGGAAGAACAAAUGUGUAAGUAACUAUGCACGUCUUGACGGUACCUAAUCAGAAAGCCACGGCUAACUACGUG
rnacentral:rRNA from 1 species